rnacentral:rRNA from 1 species
GACGAACGCUGGCGGCGUGCCUAAUACAUGCAAGUCGAGCGGACUUGAGGGAGCUUGCUCCCGAAAGUUAGCGGCGGACGGGUGAGUAACACGUGGGCAACCUGCCUAUAAGACUGGAUAACUUCGGGAAACCGGAGCUAAUACCGGAUAAUUCUUUUCCCCUCAUGGAGAAAAGCUGAAAGACGGUUUUGCUGUCACUUAUAGAUGGGCCCGCGGCGCAUUAGCUAGUUGGUGAGGUAACGGCUCACCAAGGCGACGAUGCGUAGCCGACCUGAGAGGGUGAUCGGCCACACUGGGACUGAGACACGGCCCAGACUCCUACGGGAGGCAGCAGUAGGGAAUCUUCCGCAAUGGACGAAAGUCUGACGGAGCAACGCCGCGUGAGUGAUGAAGGUUUUCGGAUCGUAAAACUCUGUUGUUAGGGAAGAACAAGUACCAGUUAACUGCUGGUACCUUGACGGUACCUAACCAGAAAGCCACGGCUAACUACGUGCCAGCAGCCGCGGUAAAAC